rnacentral:rRNA from 1 species
AGCUCGUAGUUGGAUUUCUGUCGAGGAUGGGUGGUCCGCUCUUUGAGCGUGUAUCUACUUCAGCCUUGGCAUCCUCCAGGGGAAUGGUACUGUGCUUGAUUGCAUGGUCCGGAAUUCUGGACUUUUACUUUGAGGAAAUUAGAGUGUUUACAGCAGGCAAUCGCCUUGAAUAUAUUAGCAUGGAAUAAUAAUAUAGGACCUUGGUUCUAUUUUGUUGGUUUCUAGAACUAAGGUAAUGAUUAAUAGGGAUAAUUGGGGGCAUUCGUAUUAACACGUCAGAGGUGAAAUUCUUGGAUUGUGUUACGACGAACUACUGCGAAAGCAUUUGCCAAGGAUGUUUUCAUUGAUCAAGAACGAAAGUGAGGGGAUCGAAGACGAUUAGAUACCGUCGUAGUCUUCACCAUAAACUAUGCCAACU